AGCUCCAAUAGCGUAUAUUAAAAUUGCUGCAGUUAAAAAGCUCGUAGUUGGAUCUUGGGCGCAGGCUGGCGGUCCGCCGCAAGGCGCGCCACUGCCCGCCUGGCCUUCCUCUCGGUCUCCGCCCGGUUCUCUUGACUGAGUGCCGGGCGCGGCCGAAACGUUUACUUUGAAAAAAUUGGAGUGUUCAAAGCAGGCCGUGAGCCUGGACAGCAGAGCAUGGAAUAAUGGAAUAGGACCUCGGUUCUAUUGCGUUGGUUUUCGGAACUCGAGGUAAUGAUUAAGAGGGACUGACGGGGGCAUUCGUAUUGCGGUGUGAGAGGUGAAAUUCUUGGAUCGCCGCAAGACGACCGACUGCGAAAGCAUUUGCCAAGAAUGUUUUCAUUA
rnacentral:rRNA from 1 species